GCCGGUAUAGCUCAGCUGGUAGAGCAUCUGAUUUGUAAUCAGGGGGUCGGGGGUUCAAGUCCCUCUGCCGGCA
rnacentral:tRNA from 1 species